rnacentral:rRNA from 1 species
GUCCAGACUCCUACGGGAGGCAGCAGUGGGGAAUAUUGCACAAUGGGGGAAACCCUGAUGCAGCAACGCCGCGUGAGUGAAGAAGUAUUUCGGUAUGUAAAGCUCUAUCAGCAGGGAAGAAAAUGACGGUACCUGGGUAAGAAGCCCCGGCUAACUACGUGCCAGCAGCCGCGGUAAUACGUAGGGGGCAAGCGUUAUCCGGAUUUACUGGGUGUAAGGGGAGCGUAGACGGCGAUACAAGUCUGAAGCGAAAGCCCGGGGCUCAACCCCGGGACUGCUUUGGAAACUGUGUUGCUGGAGUGCUGGAGAGGCAAGCGGAAUUCCUAGUGUAGCGGUGAAAUGCGUAGAUAUUAGGAAGAGCACCAGUGGCGAAGGCGGCUUGCUGGACAGUAACUGACGUUGAGGCUCGAAAGCGUGGGGAGCAAACAGGAUUAGAUACCCUUGUACGC